AAGGCCAGGGGGUGGCACGACUCAGCAGCCCAGUGCCUCUGUGGGCACAAGUCAAAGAGCAGCUAUAGCAUCACACCAGCUGUCUCCCAUAGGACACCAGGACCAGUCGCAAGGCUUAGGCAGCCUGCUGGGAUGUGACAGUCAUUGUCAGAGCCAGCCCGUAGCUCCGUUCAUGGCCCUCCCAGCCCUUGGUCAGACCAGACUGUGCAGCACCCGUCCCCUCAAGGGAGCUCCACAGCAUGGCUCAGGUUUAGAUGAUUCCCUGCUCACUAUUUCCAGCUCUUCUCAAGUGCAGCGAAGUCACAGCCAUGAUGCUCUGCGGGUCUCAGAAUUAAAAUUAUCUGGACAUCCAAAAGAAAAAGAGUGCAGGUGAAGAGGAUUUGCAUGC